rnacentral:rRNA from 1 species
UACGAAGGGGGCUAGCGUUGCUCGGAAUUACUGGGCGUAAAGGGCGCGUAGGCGGACAGUUUAGUCAGAGGUGAAAGCCCAGGGCUCAACCUUGGAAUUGCCUUUGAUACUGGCUGUCUUGAGUUCGGGAGAGGUGAGUGGAAUGCCGAGUGUAGAGGUGAAAUGCGUAGAGAUCGGCAGGAACACCCAGGGGGAAACCAGUCGACUGGGCAUUACCUGACGCUGAGGUGCGAGAGCGUGGGGAGCGAACCGG